UGGGGAAUAUUGGACAAUGGGGGCAACCCUGAUCCAGCCAUGCCGCGUGUGUGAAGAAGGCCUUUUGGUUGUAAAGCACUUUAAGCAGGGAGGAGAGGCUAAUGGUUAAUACCCAUUAGAUUAGACGUUACCUGCAGAAUAAGCACCGGCUAACUCUGUGCCAGCAGCCGCGGUAAUACAGAGGGUGCGAGCGUUAAUCGGAAUUACUGGGCGUAAAGCGAGUGUAGGUGGCUCAUUAAGUCACAUGUGAAAUCCCCGGGCUUAACCUGGGAACUGCAUGUGAUACUGGUGGUGCUAGAAUAUGUGAGAGGGAAGUAGAAUUCCAGGUGUAGCGGUGAAAUGCGUAGAGAUCUGGAGGAAUACCGAUGGCGAAGGCAGCUUCCUGGCAUAAUAUUGACACUGAGAUUCGAAAGCGUGGGUAGCAAACAGGAUUAGAUACCCUGGUAGUCCACGCCGUAAACGAUGUCUACUAGCCGUUGGGGUCCUUGAGACUUUAGUGGCGCAGUUAACGCGAUAAGUAGACCGCCUGGGGGAGUACGGCCGCAAGGUU
rnacentral:rRNA from 1 species